UGCAUUAUUAAAUAUAAAAAGAACAUAGAAUUAAAUUUAAAACAUUUAUAAAAUUAGUAAAGGUGAUUAAAAGUUGUUUUUUAUAUUUUAUAUAGUACUGAGAAGGAAUACGUUAAAUUAUAGUAAAGAAGAAAUAAAGUUUUGUACCUUUUGCAUCAUGGUCUAGCUAGAUUUUAUUAUUAUAAAAUAAUUCUAGAAAUCUAAUGGGCUAUUUUUAACCAGUGCUAUUAGGCUGAAAAGAGUAGUUGUGGAAAAAACUUUCUUAGAGUUAAAAAUAGAAAUGAAAUUUUAUUCGUAUUAGAUGAUAGCUAGUUUUUUACUAAAAAUAUAUAAGUAUCGAAGAUUAUAUCUUAAGUUAUAAAUUAAAUUUAUAAUUCUUAAAUAUUAAUUUAUUUAAAUUUUUGAGGAUAAGCUCGAAAAUGGUUUUACUCUUGUAUUUGAUAUUUUAGCUUAAAUUUAAGCCUGAAAAUAGCUAUAAUUUUUGAUUUUGUUAUAAUUUCAUUAAAAUUUUAAAUAUAUAAUAAAUUUACUAUUACUGAGUAAAAAAAAUUUUUUAAUUAAAAAUUAAGUUAAUUUUAUGCUAGAAUGAGUAUUAUUAAAAAUAUAUUAUUUAAUAAAACAAGAAAAAUAAACUUUGUAAUUUAUUUUAAUAUAAAAUUAUAAAAAGGAACUCGGCAAAUAUUUAUUCUGCCUGUUUAUCAAAAACAUGGCUCUCUGUAGGACUAUAAAUAGAGAGUCGGACCUGCCCGGUGAAGCAUUUUUAACGGCCGCGGUACUCUGACCGUGCAAAGGUAGCAUAAUCAUUUGCCUUAUAAUUGAAGGCUUGUAUGAAUGGUUUGACAAGAAUAGAUCUGUCUCUUUAUAAUUAACUAAAAUUUUAUUUAUAGGUGAAGAAGCCUAUAUUAAAUUGAAAGACAAGAAGACCCUAUCGAGCUUUAAAGUAAUUAAUAAAACUAAAAUCAUAUAUAUAUUGAAUUAGUUAUUAAAAAUUUUAGUUGGGGCGACUAAGGAACAAACAAAGCUUCCUUGAAAUUUUAAUACUUGCAGGUUGUGAUCCAAAUGCUUUGAUUAAAGAAAUUAGUUACCGUAGGGAUAACAGCAUUAUCUUUUUUAAGAGCUCAAAUCGAAAAAAAGCUUUGUGACCUCGAUGUUGGACCAGAAUGUCCUAAAGAUGUAGCCGUCUUUAAGGGUUGGUCUGUUCGACCAUUAAAAUUCUACGUGAUCUGAGUUCAGACCGGCGUGAGCCAGGUCAGUUUCUAUCUUCAAUUUUUAAUGUGGACUUAGUACGAAAGGAUUAGUCUAUAAUAAAAAUUAUUAUGUUUGAUAAAGUAUAAAGUAAAAUUUAGUAAUUUAAUAUCA
rnacentral:rRNA from 1 species